ACGAAGGGGGCUAGCGUUGCUCGGAAUCACUGGGCGUAAAGCGCACGUAGGCGGACUCUUAAGUCGGGGGUGAAAUCCUGGAGCUCAACUCCAGAACUGCCUUCGAUACUGAGAGCCUUGAGUCCGGGAGAGGUGAGUGGAACUGCGAGUGUAGAGGUGAAAUUCGUAGAUAUUCGCAAGAACACCAGUGGCGAAGGCGGCUCACUGGCCCGGUACUGACGCUGAGGUGCGAAAGCGUGGGGAGCAAACAG
rnacentral:rRNA from 1 species